rnacentral:rRNA from 1 species
UUCGCAAUGCCCGAAAGGGUGACGAAGCGACGCCGCGUGCGGGAAGAAGGCCUUCGGGUUGUAAACCGCUGUCGGGAGUUAAGAAAUGCAGAGAUGUUAAUAGCGUCUUUGCUUGACUAAGGCUCCGGAGGAAGCCACGGCUAACUCUGUGCCAGCAGCCGCGGUAAUACAGAGGCGGCAAGCGUUGUUCGGAAUUAUUGGGCGUAAAGAGCACGUAGGCGGCUAUGUAAGUCGGUUGUGAAAGCCUUCCGCUCAACGGGAGAACAGCAUCCGAUACUGCAUGGCUUGAGUGCGGGGGGGGAGAGUGGAACUUCUGGUGGAGCGGUGAAAUGCGUAGAUAUCAGAAGGAACGCCGGCGGCGAAAGCGGCUCUCUGGCCCGUAACUGACGCUGAGUGUGCGAAAGCUAGGGGAGCAAACGGGAUUAGAUACCCCGGUAGUCCUAGCCGUAAACGAUGGGCACUAAGUAGAGGGGUUUU